UACGAAGGGUGCAACCGUUGCUCGGAAUCAUUGGGCGUAAAGCGCACGUAGGCGGCUCCGCAAGUCGGAUGUGAAAUCCCUCGGCUCAACCGAGGACGUGCAUCCGAAACUGCAGAGCUUGAGUAUGGAAGAGGGUCGCGGAAUCCCCGGUGUAGAGGUGAAAUUCGUAGAUAUCGGGGGGAACACCAGUGGCGAAGGCGGCGACCUGGGCCAAUACUGACGCUGAGGUGCGAAAGCGUGGGGAGCAAACAGG
rnacentral:rRNA from 1 species